AUAAAAAGGUUUUGGCGCAAAACUUUCUACAAAAAAGCUCAUCCACCUUUAUUUUCCCUCAAAACCCUAGCCACGUCUUGGCAUAGACUGCUUUCUUUAAACUCAAACCCUUAGUUACCCUUCCGCUUACUUUUUAUUUCUCUCACUCAUUAUUUGAUCCCUCACCCAGAUUUCUUCUUUCUCUGGAAAUAUCAGAUCUCGUUCACUCACAUCGCACAUAAUCCCCGUAACAUUAAAAUUAAUAGCCUCGAUUUUUUUCAUAAAUUUAUCAAAUUAAAGUUAGGGCUUGUAUAAAUCUCUGUUAAAAUUGAAGAUUCAAGAUUUAGGGUUUCUAUAGAUCUCUGUAAUCUCUUUUUUUUUUUCCAUUGUGGAUUUGUACAAAUACUUAAAUUUGUUGUGAAAUUUGUGUGUUUCUGUACCAAAAUUAGCAUUUUCUAGGGUUUAAUUUUUUCUUUCAAUUUAUGCUGAUGAUAGAGGUAAUUGCGUUCAAUUUGUUUUUUUUUUCCUUUCCUUUUAAGUUAUACUUUGUCUUGACAAGAACAAUUUUUCUAAUUUUUUUCUUGUUCGUUCCUCUAAUUCCAACUGCAAUGAUGAUUAUGAAUUGAAAAACUCAUUCAAUCUGAGCUGAGUUUUUCGGUUAAAAUUUUUAUACUAACAACAACUAGAAAUUAUAGGUUUGAAGUUUUUGUUUUUGAUUGUUCUUAUCCAAUUCUUUUCACUGAUUUUUAAGUUAUUUUGAAAGAACUCCUUAUAAUUUUACUUUGUUUUCAAAAUAAUUUGGGUAAUUUUGGAUCGAAGUCUAUUUCUUCUCAUUUCUGAAUCCGAAUAUUAGAUAUGGGUUUGUUAAUUAGGGUAAAAUUGAAUAAAUUGUGGGUUUGAUCUUGAUAGAUGUUAUCUCAUAUGAUGUUUGAGGUACACUAUUUAUUGUCGGAAGAGUGAGUAUCUUAUUUCAGAUUUUACAAAUGUAUUAUUUUUCUCAAUUUCAAAUUUGUAUUGGAGCAACUUUUCAUGGAUUUUGUUGAUUCUCUCAUGAUUUAUCAUUAUCUGAUGUUACCCCUAGUUCAGUCCUUUUUGGUUUGUCAGAUGGUAAGGAUUCGUCCGAUUUUAUUUAUUUUUUUCUUCUGGAAGUUUCAUUGUUGAAACUGUAUAUGAAUUAAGGUUUAAUUAUGUGUUUAUUUAUCUUAAUUUUUGGUUUUUGAUUCAACUGAUUCAAUUUUAGUAUUGGACAGUUGCAAAUGUACUGGUCACAAAACAGAUGUUGAAGUUGCUGUUGACAAUUAUGAAUAUGAUUUCUUAUUAUUACUGAUAGCAGUUGAGGGAAGCAUGCUCCUCGGUAGUUUGUGGGGAUACGAGGAAGGUGUUGUUAUAGGAAACAUACUUCAGUAGUAUGUUGCUGAUAUUUAUUUGAUAAUGUCUUGAUCAUGUUUGGAUGUCUUUUACUAUGAUCUUGUUUUGUAUGCUUUCAGUUGUGUUUUGCUUGGUUCUUAUGAAGUUAGGAUUACUCCAUACCCUGAUUUGCUCAACACACUGAUUUUCAGUCCUAAUCCUAGGUAGAAGAAGAGGGAAGAUGUGAUUCACCGUUUCCGUUGAAGAUGAAGGUGCAUCAUGCAUUGUUGGAUCAGAAAAUCAAAUUGUGAGAAGUAGAGUUGGAGCUAGAGUUGAGAUGGUAAGAAGUGGAAUCAUAGCUAGAUCUGGUAUGGUCAAGAAUAGGAUUCGAGAGCACUUGGUAGCGGGUUUAGAGAUGAAGUAAGCAACAACUUCUGACUUGCUUAUCGAGGGAGUUGGGGCCUGGGUUGCUGAGUGUAAGACUUAUUCAUACCGAUGUGAAGCCAGAAAACAUUUUGUUUGUUUCUCCAAAGUACAUCAGGGUGCCCGAUUACAAGAAACCUGCUCGGUGAUUCAGCGUUUUGACUUUAAUAGCAAUGACAAGCACAAACUUAUAGGGUAAGAAAUUUCUUGUUGUUCUUCACGUAUAUAGGAUACCCUAUACUAUAUAACUUCACUCUUACUAGGGUUCAAGAGAAAUCCACAUGUCAGUUGCAGAAUUGGAGUUAGUUCACAGAAACAAACAUGGAGAUCAGAGUAAGGGUCUUGAGGCACAAAUUUUAUGGAUAGCUAUACCGAGGAAAGUCUUUAUAGGGUUUCUGACUUCCUUGGAAGCAACUUUCAGCUUGAGUUCAUAUUAGCUGUUGAUUCUACAGCUUCAUAUGGAUAUUCCUAAAAUCAAUUAGAUGCUUAUCAACAUGUGAAUUUACAUUGUUAUAGUUUGCUUCGUCGGAGAUUCACUUCCCGGUUCUGAUGAAGAUUCUUACUCAAUCGACGAGGUCAUUAAGCAGAAUAUGACCAACAUUGGUGCAUCGAGUGUUUCGUUGAAGAUAUUACUCAAUCGUCUAGGUCAUUAAGCAAAAUAUGACUAUCAUUUAUACUUUUAAGGUUCUAUUGCAGAUUCCUACUCAAUCGACUGGGUCAUUAAGCAGAAUAUGACCCUCAGUACAUUUAGGAUUCCAGUGAAUAUUCUUGAAAGUGUAAGGUCAAUAGGCAAGAUGGACAUGACUGUAUGAUCCACGCCUUAUAUAGUACUUUUCAUGCAACAAAAUAGAUAAAAGGAAAGAGAUCCAAGUUAUUCCAGUGAACUUGGAGCUCAACCAAGUUUAGCUUGCUAUGUAUGUUAAAUAUUUAGUCAACGGUGAAGUCCAUUGUACUUAUUAAGUCCAUCAAGGGUUGAUUUCUGCAGAGAGAAAGAAAAACGAGUUUUUGGA